AUGGAGUUUGUGCUUGGCUGGGUUUUCCUUGUUGCUCUUUUAAAAGGUGUCCAGUGUGAUGUGCAGCUGGUGGAAUCUGGGGGAGACCUGGUGAAGCCUGGGGGGUCCCUGAGACUCACCUGUGUAGCCUCUGGAUUCACCUUCAGUAGCAACGGCAUGAACUGGGUCCGCCAGGCUCCAGGGAAGGGGCUGCAGUGGGUCGCAUAUAUUAGUAGUAGUGGAGGUAGCACAAGCUACGCAGACUCCGUGAAGGGCCGAUUCACCAUCUCCAGAGACAACGCCAAGAACACGCUGUAUCUGCAGAUGAACAGCCUGAAGACCGAGGACACGGCCACAUAUUACUGUGCAAGAGACACGGUUGGGAUCCUCCAUGGUGCACUGGACGAGGCACUGGUGGGAGCAAAGACAGUGGACGCCUCCAAGAAGAAUGUGGCCAGUCAGGCAAAGUCCUGA